rnacentral:misc_RNA from 1 species
UUACUGAUUUUGCGGGCUUCGGCAAUGAAUUCCUCACCUCUCAUGGGAACACUUAAAAAUGGACUUUUUCCAACAACUUGGGGCCUUUAUAGCCUGCACUUCUUAUGACAAUCUUAGGGAUGACCAUCAGAUGCACUUGAAAAAGGAAAUUGUUGAAUACACCAACUCCAACACAAAGCAGUAAAGGGAGUUCUCCAUUGUACUCCCCCUACAUUAUUCUACGUUG